rnacentral:rRNA from 1 species
AUUGAACGCUGGCGGCAUGCCUUACACAUGCAAGUCGAACGGCGGCACGGGUGCUUGCACCUGGUGGCGAGUGGCGAACGGGUGAGUAAUACAUCGGAACGUACCUUAUCGUGGGGGAUAACGCAGCGAAAGCUGUGCUAAUACCGCAUACGCCCUGAGGGGGAAAGCGGGGGAUCGCAAGACCUCGCGCGAUUAGAGCGGCCGAUGCCUGAUUAGCUUGUUGGUGGGGUAAAAGCCCACCAAGGCGACGAUCAGUAGCUGGUCUGAGAGGACGAUCAGCCACACUGGGACUGAGGCAGGGCACAGACGCCUACGGGAGGGAGCAGUGGGGAAUUUUGGACAAUGGGGGCAACCCUGAUCCAGCAAUGCCGCGUGAGUGAAGAAGGCCUUCGGGUUGUAAAGCUCUUUUGUCAGGGAAGAAACACCGGCUCUAACACAGUCCGGGAAUGACGGUACCUGAAGAAUAAGCACCGGCUAACUACGUGCCAGCAGCCGCCGUAA